ensembl:ncRNA lncRNA:CR43174 long non-coding RNA:CR43174
AAAAACAGACAACGAAACUGUGAAGUAAACAUUUUCGUCGGGUUCUGGUCAUGUGCUCGCUGUGUGGUUCCCGAUUCCAGGGAAUAUUACGAACUUAACACUUGGUCAGUCCAUUGGCCCAUGUGCAGCGUGGGAAAUUUGGAAGCAGUUCGUAGUCCGGAAUGAAAUUAAAUGUGGGUCAAAUUCAGUUUCAUUAGAACUCGCCAGUGUCGCUAGGCGAUUGAGUUAGAUAAGGAGUGAAGUAAAGGCGGGGUAUCCAAAUGAAUAUGACUUCCUUAUCCAAGACAGAUGGAAUUCCACUGAAAGUGAAGCAGGCAUCUGUUACCUCCUUUGUGGUCUCAAUUGGCUUGUUAUACGAUAUGCCCAGACCAUGCCCUUUUCACCCUGCUUUUGAGAUUUUCUCCGGCAAACGUUCACUGACCUCUUUCAGAGACCGGAGAUCCGAAGAAAGUUUUUAGCCCGAAAAUGCGUCACUGCCCAAACAGAAAACAAGCGGCAACAGAAGCAGCAUGAGUGCCAAGAAACUGUGAAGAGUGUUUCAUAGAAAAAUUAUACAUCAUGAUCGGCGGCCGAUAAAGAUCUUCAUUAGUCUGGAAACACGGAGUUGGGCCCCAACUCCGAAUGGAGACUGGUGACUGGGUGACCCCAAUAGGCAUUCAAAUCUCUCGAUUUGCCUACUCGGUCCAACUCUCACUUUUUGCCGAUCGCUGCUGUCGGUGAAAAUCAUUCAAAUUCGGAAUAUAUGUAUGUAUGUAUGUCCAAUAUAUAUGUCCAAGAGUCGGGGCCAGUUCAACAAACCCCAUUGAACUCAAUCCGGAGCAAUGACACCUCGCCGGGCCCUACAAUCCGCACUCAACCUCACUUUCUUUUACGUGCAUAUGUCCAUCCCUGUCAUCCAAACAUCUCUCUCUCCCUCUUGCACCCUUUGGCCGUUGAGGGGCUUACGGUUGUCUUAUAGAGCUGUUGCCGUUGUUGCAACAUUUUUCACUUUCUUUUCGGGGAUCGCCAUUUGAAUGCCUUUCUUUGGCAGGGUAAUGCAAAGCCAACAAAGACGACAACCAACUAUUUUGUCCCAACUAUUUUGAUUUCUAAAUUAUUACUUGCUUUUUAACUUUUAAUCAGUAUUAAAACUUUGGAAAAUUC